rfam:Clostridiales bacterium S7-1-4 contig57, whole genome shotgun sequence.
GAAUGUUGAAUAAGAAAACCGAAGAAAGCCGGUUGUGAAAUAAUGUUUCACGUAAAUCCUGCCGAGGUGUAUGAAAAAGUUUUUAUUUUAGUGAUUUUUUUAGACCUCGUUUUCGAGGUCUUUUCUAAUAUAAAU